ensembl:lncRNA
CAGAAAGUUUUCUUCUCUACCACUGACCAAUUUACCCCUACUGGUCCUUAUGGCCUUGGGAGACCUUGGACUCCUUCAAUCCUCAUUCUCUUAAUUUGCCAGACUACUGAUCUGAUAAUUCAAAGUCAGAUUUCUCAUUGUCCUUUUUGUCUUCUGGCUUUUUAAAUUUCUCCAAACUAGGGAUUGCACUUGAAUCAUUGUCUCUGGGUCUAAAUCUAUGGAAACCCACAAGAAGAGAUUCGGUACCAAAACUGGACAUAAAUUCUCAGGAGAAGGUUGUGAGUUGGAUCCUAGGCUGGCCAGAUCACAAGGACUAUUAUGCUGCUGCAGAGCCCUCGUUUGUCUCAGGUAACCGUCUCUCCAUAAUAGCACCUUGUGCAUCAGAGGAAGCCGAGCCACCACCAGCUCCAGACGAGGGCCUAGUAUUUUUCAAGUCCACUUGUCUGAGCUUCGCUGGUGAGAACAAGUAGCAUCGAGAAGCAGCAAUGGAGCCCACAGAACAGACUUCAGAGGAUGCCCACCUGGGUCAGCAGAACUGACUUCUUCUUCAGCACUUCAUACAUUUCCACAUUUUGGGGAAGUCUAAGAGGAAGGUGAAAUGCUAAGAGAGUUGUAAUAGAAUUUCAGCUCUUCUGGCCCAUUAGAGGCAGCUUCAAUUACAGAAAUAAAAUAAAGGGCAUGCGAUCUUAUUAAAAUGUGACUUUUAUGGAGCAGACCAUUUAUAAUGAUAUAUUUUUCUCAAUGUGUUUUAUCACAAGUUCACUUUAUUCAAAUGUCCACAAUUUGUAGGCUUAGAUAUCCAAAAAGAAACAUAUCUAUUUAUUACAAACUACUCCAAAAUGAGUCCAGAAGCCUCAGUUCUUAGAAAGCGGCCAAGUCAUUAAACAUAAAAGACUGUUUCUUGUAAAAGUGUCUGCUUUUUGUCAUAUCUGUUUAUACUUCUCUGCUACUGGUUUUCAAAAAGAGAAAAAUUGACAUCGUAAAUAAUUUCCUGUUCUUUGAGCUAGAACAGUCCUUAAAAGCUCGUCUGCUACAAUCACUUGCUUUAGCCCGUCUGGUAAACAAACAUCUACUGAGGCUCUGCAAGGUCCUGAGCACCCUGCUAAGCUAUAGGAAUACAGAAGAGAAGAAAUUUUAGCUUGAAAAAUAGUUUAUUAUCCCAUUUAAUUGGUUAGGAAACUGAGGCUUCAAUAAAUUAAGUGACUUGACUGAGUCUGGGAGGCACAAAGAAUUGAGUAGGGACUAGAACCCAGUUCUUGUUCAUAUUGCUAAGCAACUGUUAAUACACUAACCUAUUUUGCAAAUGAAAUCUUAAGAUAACUUCAGUAUUUCAUUCAAUGAUUUUGAUAUUACCUAAUACUUUUUAUUGAUUAUACUGAAUUAACACCUAUAUAUAAAAGAAAAAUGUUGUCUUAGUAAGCUUUUAAAAUUUCUCUUAAAGUCAAAAGGACAGUGUACAUAUCUAUGCAUUUACAUUAUACAUCGUAUAUAUGUUCAUAUGUGUGUGUGUAUAUCUCUAGAUAUGUAAAUGUGUGUGUGUCUACACCCACAUGUUCCAACACAUAUACCCUACGAUAUAGUAGAGUGAAAUUUCAGGAGACUAUUCAAAGACCUUCUUGUUCUACAAUUCUACAUGGGUGAUAAAUGGUUGAAAUGCUAUCAAACCACAGGUAUGCAGGAGCAUUUACCACAAACAGCUACUAAAUGAGACAGAAGAAUUGUUAUGGACACUGGGAAAGUAGCACACUAAUAAAUAUUGUACAUUAAACCCCUAAAAGGUAAUGAAGCUAGACAUUGCCUGUUAUUCUCUUCAGGGAAGAUUCAAGUUGGAAACAACUACCUUAUCAUUUAAAUGUCUUGUGCUGAACAUUCCAAACCAUAGGCAAUAUCCAGCAGUGAGAUCAUUCUUAGGCAAUAAAAAUCAUUUGAAUACAAUUACUUAAGCAACUGAGCAUCUGUGCCUUCAUCUAAAUGACCAAAUGCUCAAAAUUGAGAAGAGGAGCCAAGAUGCUUUUUCUUAAAAAGAAGCAAAACCUGGACAAAAACCACAACACAGUAUUUAGACACAGAAAACUGGCUUGUUACUUUUAUGUUCCUUGAAAGUAUUUUUUUUCCCACCUCGUCUAUAUCUCUGUUUUUUGAUACUAAGAUGAUUUGCUAUUUUAGAGCUAUUUUUAUCUCAAUAAAACAAUUUCCAAUAUGAU